AUCACUAGAUAAAGUAAAGCAUAAAAGUAUACAAGGUUGGGAGUAAUGUUCGGUUGGAACACCGAGGAGGUGGAGUUGCAUGGAUUAACUCUAGCACGACAUGUUGGAGAAGAAAAAAAAAUUUUAUGAGGGUAACGAAAUUUGACCCCCAUAAAUUCGACCCCAUACACUAAAACGCAGUAAGACUAAUAGAUAGGGUGGGAAACACCGAAGCUGAUAAAGUAGUGGAGUAAUGCCAGUCGUUAAAUGAAUAUAUUGUAACGGUGGAAUAAGUAAUCCAUAUCACUAUAUUGGUUCAAUGAAUUGUUGUGAGAGAGACUGAUGGAUAAAAAUAUAUACAUAUAAUUUUAUUUCCUUUUUUUUUUUUUCUUUUUUGGAGAUGGGAUUCCUUAGUUUAUGUUGAUAUAAAAAUAGAAAAAGACAAAUGUAAUAAGAUCUGCAAAAUUCACACAACUUUAUGUUUUUGUUCACAUGUUACAUUCAACUUUAUGUUUAUUCACAUGACUUGAUGAUUUUAUUUUGGCGGACGCAGAGUUUGCCAAAUUGAAGGAAAUAGAGUUGUGUCUGAUAUGGAUGCGAAAGGUAUGCGAGUGGCAUAAAACUG